rnacentral:misc_RNA from 1 species
UGCAGGUAAGGUUAUUUGUAAAGAAGCAGAGAGAUUGAGGCCUGCAGCUGUAGUGAUGGGUACCAGAGGCAGAGGCAUAGUUCAAAGUGUGCUGCAGGGAAGUGUGAGUGAGUACUGCUUCCACCAUUGUAAAGCAGCCCCUGUUAUAAUUGUUCCUGGGAAAGAAGCUGGCGACGAAUCAUUGAUACAAUGGAAGUAAUAACAUUAUUGCAAAAGGAAUUGUCACAAAAAACAUUAUUGCAAGAGGAAAAAAUGCAGCUUGGGCAUUUCAUUAAGAUUGUAAAAUUUGUGUGUUUUGGGUUUUUUCUCUCUCAGGAAGGAUUGGGUUGUGAAAUUUGUAUGAUCUGCAUUAUGGCAAAGUUUAGUUUUAUGUAAUCAGAAUGUCUAUUAUUUGUAUGGUCUAUGAGAAACUUACUGAUUUUACCAAUAUCUUCAUUUAUAAUCAGAAUCAUGUUCUGCUUAUAAAUGAAGAUA